rnacentral:rRNA from 1 species
UAGAUCGUCAUUUUACACGGAUAACUGUGGUAAUUCUAGAGCUAAUACGUGCAAAUGGCUCGCUUCCUUGCGGAGCGAGCGCAGUUAUUAGAUCAAAACCAAUCCGGCCUUCGGGUCGGUACAAUUGGUGAUUCUGAAUAACCGAAGCGGAGCGCAUGGUCUCGUACCGGCGCCAGAUCUUUCAAGUGUCUGACUUAUCAGCUUGUUGUUAGGUUACGUUCCUAACAAGGCUUCAACGGGUAACGGGGUAUCAGGGUCCGAUACCGGAGAGGGAGCCUGAGAAACGGCUACCACAUCCAAGGAAGGCAGCAGGCGCGCAAAUUACCCACUCCUAGCACAGGGAGGUAGUGACGAAAAAUAACGAUGCGAGGGCUAUUAGCUUCUCGUAAUCGGAAUGGGUACACUUUAAAUCCUUUAACGAGGAUCUAUUGGAGGGCAAGUCUGGUGCCAGCAGCCGCGGUAAUUCCAGCUCCAAUAGCGUAUAUUAAAGUUGCUGCGGUUAAAAAGCUCGUAGUUGGAUCUGGGCUUCUGAAUGGAUGGUGCACUUUACGGUGCAACUGUUCGUUUGGUGCCACAAGCCGGCCAUGUCUUGCAUGCUCUUCAUUGAGUGUGCAUGGCGACCGGAACGUUUACUUUGAAAAAAUUAGAGUGCUCAAAGCAGGCGUACGGCCUUGCAUAAUGGUGCAUGGAAUAAUGGAAUAGGACCUCGGUUCUAUUUUGUUGGUUUUCGGAACUCGAGGUAAUGAUUAAUAGGAACAGACGGGGGCAUUCGUAUUGCGGCGUUAGAGGUGAAAUUCUUGGAUCGUCGCAAGACGAACUACUGCGAAAGCAUUUGCCAAGAAUGUUUUCAUUAAUCAAGAACGAAAGUUAGAGGUUCGAAGGCGAUCAGAUACCGCCCUAGUUCUAACCAUAAACGAUGCCAACCAGCGAUCCGUCGGUGUUUUUUUGUUGACUCGACGGGCAGCUUUCCGGGAAACCAAAGUGCUUAGGUUCCGGGGGAAGUAUGGUUGCAAAGCUGAAACUAAAGAAUGAC